UGUACACGUGCUGGUUAACCCCUCCAUCAGCUUAAUUUCAUCCAAUUUCUUUUCCCCUUCUCUCUCGUAGCCUAGUAACCAGCUAAGGAAGAAAAAGCUUGGUGGAGUUGGGUUUUCCUUGCGUUUGGAGCUGAGAACAGUGGCCGAGCAGGGGGAUUGUGUUGCUGGUGUUGGAAACAACCUGGUUUAGUACCUAAUUAAGGACUUAAACCUUGGUGAGUUGUUGAAGCAGAAUUAGAGGGAGUUCUUGCUGUUAGAGCUAUUGAGCAGGAGACUUGGACCCUUUGAGCUGAGAGCAGCUUGGUGGACUAUAAAUUAAGACCUGAAAUUCAGGCUGAUUGAAGCUGUCGAGGUGGAAAUCAGCUGAUGGAGCUUGAGAAUUGAGGUGGCUGCUGCCCAAGUGGUGCAGGAAUUGGGCGCCCAAAUUGGAAGAGAUUUAGUAGAGUUCUUGGGUGUCCAAAUUGAUAGCUAAAGCUUUCUUGGGUGCUCCGAAUUGAAAGGGAGGACUUGGGGGAACUUUGAAUAGGUUUGAUGUGCUCGGAAGUUCAAAUUCACGUUCCGACGGAUCUAUGACGCACUAAUUACGGUAGAAGCCGUUCUAGCUCUACUUGCACUGAGUUGCGAGAGCUCGUUGUUGAUACAGUUCGAGACAUUGAUUCCAAUUUGUUGGCAUCUCUACAGGAAUGUCGCUCCUCCUUGAACGAUGAGCUCCGGAGUAGUCAUCUCAACUGGAUCAGGAGCUAGCGUCUCCCCCAGUAGACAGUCCCGUCGUGAUGUAGCUUGCGUCUCCCCGAUAUUUGGGAUUUCGUCGGUCCUAGCACGAGCGAUGUGGCCGAGGAUCGCGGCAAGAGCCCAGCAUCUUAGCUAGUGGACACCAGUAUAUAGUGGUAUACCCAUUUUGGUUCAUGUUGAAUAUAGUGAUGAACAGAAAGACAUGUAAAUAUUUGUAUAAAUAAAUCUGUAAAUGAUGUAAAUAACUAAAUGCUUCAGUUAUCCAGUUUUAUAGUUCAGUUUUGAAGUUUUAAAA